GGACGUUCGCGACUUCGUGUCUCAAAUCGCAAGGCUGUUCGUUGUUUUCACCAAACUGACUCUACAUUACGUUUAUGUGUAUAUUUUUUUUAGAAAAAUACGUCGUUCACAAAAAAUAUAUGGCUAGAAAAAUAUAGGCUAGAAAAUAUUCACAAACUUCACUUCCAAGUGACCAAGCGCAUUGCGAACCUCAAAUAAUGGCCGAAGUACUACGCGGCUGAAUACGCUUAGUUUAGUGCCGAUCGCAUUUCAAAGAAUCCUUCUUGAUGACGGUCUACCACAGCUGAUUACUCGAAUGCUAAGGCAACUUUUGCCACUUAAAAGUCCUAAUUUGUGUACCACUGGCAAAGUAAUAAAUGAACAUGCGGAAGGAAGCGCGGCGCAUGCCCAGUGUGUAGCCACGUUGAACGACGCUC